rnacentral:tRNA from 1 species
GCAUCUGCACCAGCGGUGCGAUGGCUGCCCUCCGAAGGCAAAGGUCACACGUUCGAAUCGUGUCGGGUGCGCCA